rnacentral:tRNA from 1 species
UGGCUUAGUUGGUUAAAGCGCCGGUCUGGCGAAUACGGAGUCGUGGGAUCAAAUCCCAC